CGCAUCUGUGCAUGCAGCAUAUCAAUAAGCGGAGGAAAAGAAACUAACAAGGAUUCCCCUAGUAACGGCGAGUGAAGCGGGAAGAGCUCAAAUUUGAAAUCUUAAAGGGUUUCCCUUUACGAAUUGUAGUUUAAAGAAGUGUUUUCUGUUGAGGUUUUGGUAAAAGUUCUUUGGAAUAGGACAUCAUAGAGGGUGAGAAUCCCGUAUUUGACCUUUACUUUCAACUUUGUGAUACACUUUCAAAGAGUCGGAUUGUUUGGGAAUGCAGUCCAAAAUGGGUGGUAAAUUUCAUCUAAAGCUAAAUAUUGGCGAGAGACCGAUAGCGAACAAGUACCGUGAGGGAAAGAUGAAAAGAACUUUGAAAAGAGAGUUAAACAGUACGUGAAAUUGUCAAAAGGGAAGCGUUUGACACCAGUGUUGUUUUUCUGAAAAUCAAUUAAAGAACUGUUUAUGCUAAGUUGUUUAGACUUUAUCAGCUAUCUGUUUAGUUUUGAGCUUUUCUUUAAUGCACUUUUCAGUUAACAAGUCAACAUCAAUUUCUUUUGCUGUAAAAAAGCUUGAGGAAGGUGGCUUGAGAUUCGUCUUAAGUGUUUAUAGCCUCUUGCCUAUGCAGUCGGAGAGAUUGAGGUCUGCAGCGUAGAUCCUUCGGGGCUAAAUGCAUUUGUGCUAAGUUAUAGCAUUUUAUAGACAACCUGUUGACUAUGAUUUGUCUUGUAGCUUACUCGCUUAUGUUAUUUUACCUACGCUUAGGAUGUUGAGUCGUAGAGCACGCAG
rnacentral:rRNA from 1 species